rnacentral:rRNA from 1 species
UACAGAGGGGGCAAGCGUUGUUCGGAAUUACUGGGCGUGAAGGGCGCGUAGGCGGCCUUCUAAGUCGAACGUGAAAUCCCCGGGCUCAACCCGGGAACUGCGUCCGAUACUGGAAGGCUUGAAUCCGGGAGAGGGAUGCGGAAUUCCAGGUGUAGCGGUGAAAUGCGUAGAUAUCUGGAGGAACACCGGUGGCGAAGGCGGCAUCCUGGACCGGCAUUGACGCUGAGGCGCGAAGGCCAGGGGAGCAAACGGG